rnacentral:sRNA from 1 species
ACUGCGCCCCGACUGAAGCGGAACUCUUUUUAAAAUUUUUUGAUUUUCCGAACUUUUUAUAUUGAACGAACUGAAAAUUUUAAAAAAGUGGGAGCGGAAGGCGGAACUUGGC